GCACUUAGCGGGCACCCGCACCGGCGCCAGAAUGCAACUGCAAGACAAUUUAAGGUGGACCGGAAAAUUCAAAUAAGGAACUAGCGAACAGGAAGCAUCUUAAGCCUCGUGUAUCCGCGGUGAUGGGGAGGAACGUGAUUCUGUUCAGGGUUUUCGGGAGUCUAUCAGAGAUGCAGGGCCGAAGUGUGGUGUUCUACGUUUUCUACCUGUGGAGCUGCAUGGAGGUUUUCAGGUGAUGGGGAGGAACGUGAUUCUGUUCAGGGUUUUCGGGAGUCUAUCAGAGAUGCAGGGCCGAAGUGUGGUGUUCUACGUUUUCUACCUGUGGAGCUGCAUGGAGGUUUUCAGGAAAGUUUUUCUGCACUCUGAAUGACACACAGCCACAUAAAAUCCAACUCACAAUUGAUUCCCUGAAAUAUCAAACGUGCC